rnacentral:rRNA from 1 species
CCUACGGGUGGCAGCAGUGAGGAAUAUUGGUCAAUGGCCGGAAGGCUGAACCAGCCAAGCCGCGUGAAUGACGAAGGUGCCAAGCAUUGUAAACUUCUUUUGUCAAGGGACAAAAUCAGGCUCGAGAGCCUGACCGCGGGUACUUGAAGAAAACGCCUCGGCUAACACUGUGCCAGCAGCCGCGGUAAUACGGAGGAGGCGGGCGUUAUCCGGAUUUAUGGGGUUUAAAGGGUGCGUAGGCGGGCUGUUAAGUCAGCGGGAAAAGCCCGGGGCUCAACCCCGGCGAGCCGUUGAAACUGGCUGUCUUGAGAUGUCGAGAGGUAUGCGGAAUGCGCAGUGUAGCCGUGAAAUGCUUAGAUAUUGCGCAGAACUCCGAUUGCGAAGGCAGCAUACCGGCGGCGAUCUGACGCUGAGGCACGAAAGCGUGGGUAUCGAACAGGAUUAGAUACCCUAGUAGUC